UACGUCGGGUGCGAGCGUUAAUCGGAAUUACUGGGCGUAAAGCGUGCGCAGGCGGUUGUGCAAGACCGAUGUGAAAUCCCCGGGCUCAACCUGGGAAUGGCAUUGGUGACUGCACGGCUAGAGUGUGUCAGAGGGGGGUAGAAUUCCACGUGUAGCAGUGAAAUGCGUAGAGAUGUGGAGGAAUACCGAUGGCGAAGGCAGCCCCCUGGGAUAACACUGACGCUCAUGCACGAAAGCGUGGGGAGCAAACAGG
rnacentral:rRNA from 1 species